UAGAAGAGACAAAGCAACAGAGGAGGGGGAAAAGAAAAGAAAAAGAAAAAGAAAAAAAAAAAGCCCUUAACCACAGAAGAUGGGAUCACUCCCAAGAUGCAAUUCCACAUCCAACCACAGGAUGUCGCCACAGCCAGCGAUUCCUAGCAGCAGCAGCAGCUUUGGCUAGAGAUGCCUCCAAAGCACCCAGCAACAGUUUCCAAAGCACAGCUGGCUUACCCGCCCUGGAGUUGAGAGCUCUGCCUAGGAAGCAGUUGCAGGAAACACUGGAUCCGGGGAGAAGCCUCCCAUAAGACCAGGGUGGAUCACAGGGGCAAGGGACCACGGCCUGGUAGAAGUCACCUGAGGGGACCAUGGCCUGGUGAAGUCAUCUGAGGGGACCACAGCCUGGAGAAGUCACCUGAGGGGACCACGGCCUGGUAGAAGUCACCUGAGGGGACCACGGCCUGGUGAAGUCACCUGAGGGGACCACGGCCUGGUGAAGUCACCUGAGGGGACCACGGCCUGGUGAAGUCACCUGCAGUUCCAGUGCUGGGGAGGCAGGAACAGAUGGACCCCUGGGACUCAUUGGCCAGGCAGCCUAGCCUAACUGGUAACUCUCAGGCCAGUGAGAGAUAUUGUCUCAAGAAGUGCCGGGCACCUAAGGACCACCCGAGGUCCCCUCACCUUUACACACAUGUAAACAAACACAAGGGCUGACAGAGAGGGCUGAGCAUCACCUUCCUGGAACAGUGCAGAGUUCCCAUGGGAGUUCACCCAGGAACUCAGCUCCAGGAGACCAGGGAACCCUUCUCCAGACCCAAUGCUCAGGGAUAUGUCUGGACCAAGAUGUUCCACCAAUGCCAACUGGAGUCAAGGUGUGCACCAAGCGUUGUAUGCAAUGCAAGCGUAAGGGCCUCAUACCUGCCUGAAAAUACAGCAGGAAGCAAAGCUGACCUGAGACAGGGGGUGGGGGUGGGGGUCUGGUGGAGGGUAGGUGUUUGAGACAGGCCAGGGAGCAGGUAAAGCUGACCACUGUCAAUCACAGUAAUGGCUGCCCUGUGAAAUAGACAUGGACUCAAAAGCAUUUGAAUUUGUUCAUAACCCUCCUACGUCUGCUCAAGAGAACAAGGCUUAAAGAAGUUAAUAAAUUCAUCUUAGACUGAAUUUAGGACUGGUAGUACAAGGUCAGGAUCUGGACCUGAGUGUUGUGUCAAAAUAUGUAUCAGAGGGGCCUGAGAGAGUUAGUUCAGUUUCCAGCAUCCACACUGGGCAGCUCACAACUGCUGUGGGAUAAUGCUUUUGUACACUGGUUUAAUAAAAUGCUGAUUGGCCAGUAGCCAGGCAGGAAGUAUAGGUGGGAUAAACAGACAAGGAAAAUUCUGGGAAGAGGAAGGUCGAGUCAAGAGAUGCCAGCCCGGUGUCCAGGGAGCAGCAUGUAAUGGCACACAGGCAAAGCCACGAAAAACGUGGCUACAUAUAGAGUAACAGAAAUGGGCUGAGUUUAAGUGUAAGAGCUAG